GGAAGCCUACCUCAAGAUAAGAUUUCCCUAGGACUUUAUGUCCUCUAAAGAGCCGUUCGAGACUAGGACGUUGAUAGGUUGGAUGUGGAAGCAUAGUGAUAUGUGAAGCUGACCAAUACUAAUUGCUCGUGAGGCUUGACUAU
rnacentral:rRNA from 1 species